CUUGGGAGUAGGCAAAAUGGUAGCAGCUGGCAGCUUCUGCUUCAGAUAAAUAGAUCUCAGCAGUAACAACCUGAAUUUGCCUGUCUCUCCAGACUUCAGAUCUGCUUGUUUGCCCUGCAACCUCAGUUCUUUGAUGGAUCCAAGAAAAGGCCUUGAUUUUUGGCUUAAGAUUUUUCUUAUUGUAAGAAGAGGAGUGAUGACUUCUAAGCUGUUUACACUGAGGGCCUAAAACCAGAGAAGGCCUGCUAAGAUGGAAGCAGAAGAGAGCGAGCUAGCUCUCAGGGACUGGGGUGGAAAUGAGUGCUCUGCAAGACCUUCAGAGUGUUCAGCCUUCCAAAGUCUGUGAAUGCAUUCUAAGAGUGGUUGUGGCUUGGCUUCUUGUGAGUACCCAAUAUGAACUUCCAUUCCUUUCAUCAUGGCACAAUGAUAAAAACCUUAGACUGGCAGGAAAGCCACGUGAAUUCAGACCAUUAAUGUGCCAGUUACUUCAACGAACUGAUGACUCUCA
rnacentral:lncRNA from 1 species